AUGGAGACCCAGAGGAGCCGCACAACGGAGGGGGCAUGGAAAGGGGCCCCACACGGCAGCUCCCACCCCAGCUUCCACAUCUUCCCUAGAUGCCUCUUCGGACCUUUGCCCUCAUCCUUCCUGCUUCUCGUGCUCCCAUGCCUGUGCCUUUUGCUGUGGGCCCAGCCCCGUGCUCAUAAUGGAAGCUGCAGCCACUUAUUGUGGACUUACAAUGUGCAGCAACUGUGCUUGCACUUGACAUCUACCUCGUUUGACCUUCACAAACAAGCCAAGGUUCAGAGAGGUGAAGCCACCAGCUCAAGAUCACACAGCUAGAAAGUGCAAGGGGGGAGAUUCAAACACAUGUCUGCUGGACUCCAGGGCGGGUGUCUUCUCAGUUCUUCCCAAACAUAUGCUGGAAACCCUAGGGCCCUGGAGCCCAAGGAGAACACAAGCUAUAGGACAUGCACAAGGGUGAGAGAGCUGAGGAAGGGGAGCUGUGGGCAAAGAAGCCCCUCCAGAAAAAACCAGCGUAGGUGUGGGUGGGUGUGCUUGCAUGGGGCCCCGACCUCAGCCAUCUCCCACGGUAGUGCCAUCUGGUUCCCAGAUGUGGCCUCUCCCCAGCCCCUCGUAUUUCUUGGAAAUGAGCAAGGCCAGGAGAGGGAACAGGGGUUUUUGUGAUGUCUGUGACGACGUGAGCUCCGUUUUGUGGUCAUCCAGCCGACUGCUGCCCGAGCUCAGGAGACAGCUGGAUUGAGCGUGAACAGCCCAGGGUUCAAGCUGGCCUCUGACACUCAGCAGGGGUUGACCGGGGUGCGUCGCAGAGCCUCUUUGAGCUUCAGUAAGCAAGGAAGCCAUUCCUAUCUCUGGCAGCGGUUUUGAGCGUGCCUUAAGUUACGGGAGGGGGCAUUUUGCAGGCUGAAAGCCUCGUGCAGCUGGAAGUGGUCACAGGUGGCCCCAGGGCUGUCCCUUCAGUCUUGGCCACUGUGUGCACCCCGGAUUUCCACCUACCCCUAAAUGGCUCCUUUUCCACGUGCGAGGCUAGAGGUGGGGGCCAACGGUCAGCGGGGCCUCUCGGCAAUUUCCUUCCAGACCCAUUCUUUUGCUGAUGGGGUCUUGAUGCGCUGGAAAGGGAAGGUGACCCCUCUUGCUCUUGGAGCCUAGAGCUCCUCAGAAGACCCUCUCUGAAAGCCAGGUAAGCAUAGCAGAGAUAAUGGCAGCCUAGCGGCUGAAGGACAGACGCUCUGAGGCCUGGAAAAUCUCAACAGCCUCAGCCUGAGCUUCUAAGGACCCAGCAACAGCCCAGGCUCAUCCUCAAAGCCAGGAGCCCGGCAGCCCAGUCAGGACCAACAAAGGCCCGGGCUCUGGCCAAAGGGCACCCCAGCGUCCUCUGAUAAGGGGUAUCCUUGUUCCUUUCAGGCAAGGGCACUGGCUGGUGGGGGGCCACCCCUGCAACCCUGACGCUGAAGGAGCAAACACCCCAGAGUGGGGCCUCCUGAAGACCUGAGGAGGGUAGGCGGCAGGGGCCCUGGACACAGACCCCCUCCCGAGAGCUUCCAGACAGAAGACAGAGGUUCCCCCUCAGGCCAAGCAACAUUUCCUGAAGACAGUGGGGAACAGGGAGGAAAAACCAGUCCAUUAUCCAGGAGCAGCACCCCUGGCUGUGGACAGGUAGCACCAGGUAAGAUUCUGCCAGGUAAGAUUGUGAGGCCACCUGUUCAACUGCCUCCUUUGACAGAAGGGGAAACAGGGCGACAGAGAGAAGCGCUUGUGAUAAGGGAUCACACCACUUGGGUGUCCCAAGUGGGACCCAUCUCCUGACUGGGGACCCAGAGCAAGAAGGAGCCUCUCGUGGGGUAAGUGGAACAGGAGAGCUAUGGACCCCCUUCUCAGUGAGACAUCCUCUGAAGGAGAAAAGCCAGCUCUGUCUGCCUCUCAGCAAGUAGGCAAGACUCAAGGGAAGAGUUCCUGGGGCCAGAGAGCCAGCAGAAGGACACCUUUCCUGCACCUCUGCCCUCUUCCCAGCCCAGCGGCAGAACCUCCUCCUCCAGGAAGCCCUCCCAGUUCCCCCAGGGAGGAGGAACCUAAGCCCUCAGCAGUCCUUUCUGGGCUCUCUCUUAUGCCACUUGGGUCUGUCCCCUAUUCAACUUGCCAAGGGCAAUUUCCUUCCACUGACCAAGCUCCUCCAGGGUAAGGACCACAUCAGAUUCAGGCCUGUCUCCCCUCGGCACGUAGAAGAUGCAUUUGGUUUGCUGAACGGACAGGUGAAAUGGUUAGAUCCUGUCCCCAACCCUGAUAAAUUGGUAAAUUGGUCAGGGGAUGAGACAUGGAGCAUGGAGGUUAAAAAUUACGGUCCUGAGGCAGCUGUUCUGAUAGGAAUCCCAGCUGGGCUCCUAGCUCCAUGCCCUUGGAAAAUCCCUUUCCCAUGGAGCCUUGGGGAUGCACGGGGAUUAGCACAAUUAAAACACUCAAGAAAUGACCGUUCUUAUUACCAUCAGCAUCGCUAUGAUUUUUCUAGAGACAAAGGAAACAGAACUAGACAGCCUAUAGCCAUAGAGGAUAUAGAGGCAAAUACCUUCCCCUGGUCAAAGGUCUCAACCUCUGUCCCUGUGUCAGAGUUUCCCACAGGAGCGUGGGACUGCCUCCCAUCCACUUCCUGUUUCUACACCCAGGAGAGCUGCUAUCUUUGUGGCAAUAUUCUGAGCCCAAUGGGGUGUGCUGGAAAUAGCUGCCAAUUCCCCUGGUUCAAGCCAGUCUGUGACCCGGGAACCGUCUCCUCCCCUUCCUGGCCCUCCAUGUGGCGGUGAUAAGGGUCCCCUGACCACUGCACGGCUGCUCUGCAGAUUAAAUGUGAUGGGGCAGUUUUUCAAACAGCAGGCACUCAGAUGCCCCCUUUUUAAUUUUGGCCACAUCUGCCAACAAUCAAAAUAUUUUAAAAUUUAAGAAGAGUCAGUUUUAAUACCUAAAUAUAAAUGGGAAACUAAAAUAACUGUCCAUAAUUAGGAGAUAAUAAAGGUAAGAAUAGAGACAGUAAAAAUGCAACAGCGUUCUUACUCUCUCCUCUGGUACAUAGCUUGCAAGCCCCUGGGCCUGAGGGAGAUAAACAGGAGCCAGAAAAGUGUCAGAGACAGGAUAGCACCAAACUGAGGCUCUCUCCCCCUGGGAAACAGAAGGACUGGAAGCAAACACAGGGAAUAGCCUGAGUCACUGUGUCUUCCAGAGUUAGUGCCCAGGGGCUUCCCUGGUGGCACAGUGGUUAAGAAUCCGCCUGGCAACGCAGGGGAAAUGGUUCGAGACCUGGUCCGGGAAGAUCCUACAUGCCGCGGAGCAACUAAGGCUGUGCGCCACAACUACUGAGCCCACGUGCCACAGCUACUGAAGCCUGCGCACCUAGAGCCCGUGCUCCGCAACAAGAGAAGCCACCGCAAUGAGAAGCCCGCACACCGCAAUGAAGAGUAGCCCCCGCUAGCCGCAACUAGAGAAAGCCCGCACGCAGCAACGAAGACCCAGCACAGCCAAAAAUAAAUAAAAAUAAAAUAAAUAAAUGUAUUAAAAAACCAAGAAACAAAGUUAGUGCUCAGGCCACGUACUCUACAAAAUCGCCCGCUCUCUGUGCUGCGUUCGGAAGCCAAAGGUGGUCAGGUGAAAGAGCUUAGGAAACAGUCCGGAACAAAGGAAUGCAGGGGUCUGGCCUAAUCAGCUUGCUUCCCAGCGGCAAAUGAUCACUUUUUCGGGACGACCCUCCCUGGCUUCUUACUGAAGUCUCCACGUUGGCCAGGGCGAGCGUUUCCUCUCCAAGAGCUAGUGGGAGCUGUCUGAGAGUGGAGUAGAUGGGCUGUGGGCCGUUCAGGACCCCCAAGCUGGAUCCUGAUGUUGGAAUCACUCCCCAGCCAAACGCAGUUUGGAAAGAGUUCCUCCAUGAGAAUUCCAUAUUAAAGCGAGGCAGCUCUUUGGGUGGGAAUACCUGAGGAAGGGGCUGUCCCCCUCAGCAGGCCAGCAGGCCUGACUUGCCCCAAGUGGCAGACCAGAGGAAAACACGCUGCAGAUCAGGGCCUGCUUUCAGACUUCUGCCAGAGGCAUAUGAGACUAUUAUUUGAAGGAGGCGUGUGUGUUUUCCUGCUCUCUCCCACCCCCGAGAAAAGGCUGCUGGUUCCCUUCACCCUUCAGACAUCCGGCACUAAGGCCACCCCAGUGGGCAUCAGCAAUGCAGGAGGGUCCUCUGGGGGUGCCCUGAGAUCUUGGCGGGGCAGAAGAAAUAGAGGCGAGGCUCAGCCUGCUCACUCAGAGGUUCCCACCCAAGCCGGGUCUUGAGAGGAAAAUGAAUUAUCUAUACGGUCAUUCAAUCAUCCACUAAGUGGCAUUCCCUGGGACCCAUCAUCAUGUACAAAGGCCUCCACAAGGCGCAGGGAUCCUCGCCAUUAACAAAUGUGGGUGCUGUCCUCAGGGAACUGGAGAUCUAACCCAGUCAGACCCAGAUGCAAAGAGCUCUGACACCGGAGAGAAUGAGGUUGAAGAAUACGAUUCAGCCACUCUUACAACGCAUAUGAGGAUCUACCAUCACAAGUAUGGUAAAGGAUUAGAAAGAGAAAGAGGGCAGAAAGAGGGCAGAAGAUGCGUGAGGACAUGGACCAGGGUGUCCUGAUGUCUGAGAAAGUCAGAGAGGGCUUCCCACAAGAAGUAGCCGUUUGGUCUCCUCUUCCACCAGGAGGAGACGGGCAGGGGCGCAAGAGGGAGCAGCAUGGUAGCUGGGGGCCCCGAGGUGGUAGGCACAGGGCUCCUUGGAGGAAUGGAAAAAGGGGGGCAGAGGCCCAAGAGGAAGUGGCCAGCUGGGCCAGAUGGGUCAGGCCUUGUAGCCUUUUGUGAGGGGUUCAGAAUUUAGCCAGAGGGCAGUGGGAGAGUUUUUAGCAUUUUAAGCCUAGGAGAGAUAUGGGCAUAUUGGCAUUUUGAGAAAUCACUCUAGGAGGAUGGCUGGGAUGGAUGGUUGGGAAGUCGGUGGGAGUAGAAGCAAGGAGGCCAGGUAGGAAGCUAAGACAAAUGUUUGAUGGUAUAAAGUACCAUGAAUGUGCCGUUUGGCUGGCAUGCACCAAGCAUAAAUGUGGGGUAUGGGGUCAAAAGGUAGAACAUUAUAUUGGAUGGCUCCAUUUACUGAAAUGCCUAGAUUAGCAGCUCUGUGGAGAUAGACCUGCCCGGGGGCUAGGGGUGAUGGGAGGUGGGUAGGAGGGGCUAAAUGGUAAGAGGGUUCUUUUGGAAUGAUGAAACGUUCUGAAAUCGAUUGUGGCAAUGGUUACACCACUUUGUGAAUGUAUUAAAAACCACUUCAUUGUGCAAUAUAAAUAGGUGAAUUAUAUUUCAAUAAAACUGUUUAAAAAGAAAAGAAAAGGAAGGUUGAGGCUUGGUCCCAGAGGGCUCAAACGCCAGGCUGAGGACAGGAAACACAUCUGUGGUAGUUAAGCAGCCUCUGGGGCAAUAGCUGGAUGGUGGAGCUGAGGCCCCUCUAAUGCCCCUUCUCCUGUCUAGGGUGGACUCCCUGCCAUCAGCCCCUGGUGCAGAGCAGCGUGGCACCCUGUCUCCCAGCCUGAGGUGCAGUGCUGCAUCUCUGGUCAGUUGGGAGUCUGAGAUGAAGCACUGUAGCUCGGGAAGGGAGAAGUUGUUCUGCGGCCGUUGCCUGGACGUGGUAAGUGGUAGUGGUGCUUGCGGGCACCAGGAAGGACGGGAAUGUUUCCACUCUCCGUAUGGUCAGCUGAGGAAGUUGCUGGAUUCAAGUCCUACCUGUGCCACUAUCUGCUUCAUGAUUCUGGGCAAGGCCUGAAUCUUCUGUGCACCCCAGUUUGUCCAUCUGUAAAGUGAGGUGUUGGAGCACUCGGUGGUGGCCAUUACCCAGCACCCUGACUCUGCUUUCGCUUUCUGAGCCCAUGACAGACACUGCUAAUCAGUCGAGGCAUCCUUUCUUUUUUCUUUUUUUCUUUUCUUUUGUAAUUUUGUAAAACUUUUUAUCUUAUAUUGGAGUAUAGUUGAUUAAUAAUGUUUUGAUAGUUUCAGGUGUACAGCAAAGUGAUUCAGUUAUACACAUACAUGUAUCUAUUCUUUUUCAAAUUCUUUUCCCAUUUAGGUUGUUACAUAAUAUUGAGCAGCGUUCCCUGUGUUAUACAGUAAGUCUUUGUUGGUUAUCCAUUUUAAAUACAGAAGUGUGUACAUGUCAAUCCCAAACUCCCUAACUAUCCCUUCCCCCAACUCUAAGGCAUCCUUUCUUGAAGCAUUCAGGUACAGCUUCAGAAUCCUUCUCAGCACUAAGUUCUGGAGAACUUAGUUAAUGAUUCGAAGCUGAAACCCUUCAUCAUUUGUGAACUGAACAAUUCCUAAAAACCCUUUCAGCCUUAAAGACAAAAGUCCUGGGCUUUGAGUCAGGCUCUUCACUCUUUGAGGUGUUGCCUAAGUUAGUCCAGGCAUCUCCCAAAUAUCUGACCCCUCUCAGUGGCUUCAGACAAGCAAGAAACAGCAGAGGAAAAUCACUGGGCUAAGCACAAUUUUAUUUAACCUCCCAACAAGCUUGGGAGGUAAAUGUUAUUAACCCAUUUUCCAGAUAAGAAAACCAAGGCUCAGUUAAGCAACUGGCCCAAGGUCACACACUGACUAUGUUGAGCUGGGCUUGGAACCUAAUCUGUCUGCCUUCAGAUUCAUGUUCUUACCCACUGCAUGUGGUCUUGUCCUUACAUCUUGGGUCACUUUUAGCAAAGACAGACCAAGACAUUUUCCAUUAAUCCUGUAGAUUUCCUUCCUCUUCUCCUCCCCGCCCCCAGCCACCAUAGUUGUAUUUAUCUCACCUUAUCCAGUAGGUCCUAUACCAUAGCAUUUUACAGUUGGGGAAGGCUGAGGUUAAGUGAUUUGCUGAGGGUCACCAACAAAGAAGUUGCCAAACAGAGACUGGGAACUGGAUCCGCCCAGUUGGUUUAGAGUAAAACCCUCCCUCGGCUGGAGACUAAGGAAUACACAUGAUCCAUGGCAGUCGAAGGGGGGAGUGGGGUGUUACCAGAUGGUUUCUGGUUGACAACAUGGCCUUUGACUACAGGGAAGGUACUUUCCGGGGCAAUUGAAGUUCCAGUCACUACUCUCCCCCCGGAGCAAUCAUCCACAUCCCGCGAGACACAGCAGCCGCCCUGGCUUCUGCAGAUGGGGCCGGAUGCAGAAGAAAACGCCAGCUGGUCCUUAGGGACAUGCCAGAGCCUUGGUGCUGAAGGCCACUCUCUCACCUUGUCCUCACGGUCCAGUUUUCCCAGGAAUCCCUUAGAUGCUAAGAUGGGGAUUCCUGGAAAUACUGUUCUUGAGGUCAUGGUUUAACAGCUGGAUGCGUCUCCUUCCCACCCAGAGUUGCCCCUGCAGGGCUUGGGCUCAAGCACGUCAUGAGGUCAAGUGGAAGGCCAUGCACUAGAGGUAAGAGGGCUUGAGAACUGUGUUCUUGACCUUUAAGUUGCUUUUCUUUCCAUUUUGUCCAUUUCGUAACAUCCUGUGAGGCUGGAAUGGGAACUUCACCACUGUCCUGCUCUUGGGAACUUUGUCCAGGCACUCAGUUGAGCAGUGGUUGAACCAGGACACCAUAAAGCAUGUGUUUCUUUCUGCCUCAACCGCACCCCCACCCCACUUCCCCGCAUGCCAAGCAAUAGGGGUCGCACUAUCGAAUCAGCAUUAUUGAUAAAUGAAUAAAUGUACGUGAAUUUAUUUUAAAAGUUUGCUAAAUCAGUUUGCUAAACUAAAAACAAAAAAAACCAUUAAGUUUUAGUUCGAUUUGUAAUGCAGCCACAGAAAAAUUUUUAAAUUUUUCAUUAAGGUAGAGAAGACAAAAAAGCUCAGAGUGCCCUCUUGUGGUGAUGCCUCUCUCAACCUGCUUCAGGAACACUGAGGCUCGCCUCUACACACACACACACACACACACACACACACACACACAGAGAUUCCUUUUGCCCCAGUCACUUUUGAGCCACUGACCACGUAAGCCCCAUCCAUCCUCUCAUUACCAAUGACCAUCACUUACGAUUUACUUUAACUCGCAUCACCUUCGUCUCAAAGCUCCUGAGGUUCAGAGAGGUCAAGUGACCAGCCCACAGUCACUCACAUAGCAUAAGGCAGAGCCAGGAUUGAUUCCAAGUUCAGUGGCUUGUGGCAAUUCCUCAGCCAAAAGUAAAAACUGCAAAAAUAAAAAAUAAAAGUAAGACAAUCUGAAUAGACAGAGAAAAUGCUAGCUGACUGAAUCCCAGAGAUCUGAAGUGGUCCAGGUGCAACACUAGAACUUUUCACAAACUCUUCCUAGUGCUUUUCAUGGAGUUGGUAGAGACAGGAGGUGUCGUGGCCCCAGGAGCCUCGCUUUGGGGUCUGCUUGCCAUGUUCCCAGGGACCAGGUGGCUCCCACACGUCUCAGGCUGUCUCUCUAACAGGCCACAUUGAAGACAUUUAUAAAAUAUGAGAUCUCCCUCCCCCUUAUCCUCAGAGACUGGAGCUGGACUGACCAUGAAGAAAUCUGAUUUGCUCCUAAUGAUAAUAAUAGCUUCCACUCACGAAUAUUUACAACUUACUGGGCCCUGUGCUAAAUGCUUUCACAGGCACUGUCUCAUUCAAUCCUCACAACAACCCAGUGAGGUAGGUUGUAUCACAUACUCCGUUUCACAGAUGAGGCAGCCAAGGCACAGAGAGGUUAAGACACUUGCCUAAGAUCACACAGCUAACAAGUUGUGAGGCUGAGUCAAAUCAAGUCUGUGUUUAUGCUUAUCACCUGCCCUUGCCCCCUCUCUCCCUUUUGGCCUGGCCUGGCAGGUGGGGCUACCUCCCGUGGCUUCCCCUGGGGGAGAAGGUAAAACAAGCCUUCAGUGAGACCCAAGCAGUCCCUCCUGUGCUCUGUGACUAUAAUAAAAUGCUGGACCCUU